UGGAAGUGCUGCAAAUUGAAUGAUGAGAUUUGAACUUAGAUACACCUGUUAGAGCUCUUCACCAUUCUACUGCUGGUAACCAGGCCAACACGUUUUCAAGGUGUUCCAUAUCUAUAAAUAAAACAAAUGGACAUCAGUACUUUGGAAACAUGGACUGUUUAAUGACCAGCGAGUAGUUACAAUAAUAAUGCGAUGUUACAACAUUUAGCCUCGUUUGGGUCAAUGAAAAUAAAGAGACAUUUUAGCAUAGUUUUUUCAAUUUUGUAAACUACAUUUUUAUCCAUUUUUAUUCGUCAACAAUACUGCAUUAUACAUUUAUUUAUAGUCAUCAUCACAUGACAAGCAUGUCAUUUUCGUCAUGUGAUAAAGGUUUGUCAUAAUUUUCGUUGACGAAAGCAACACAACUGUAGAGUGUUUUUUGCUUGUUUUGUGAGGUCAUAAGUUACAGAAACUGCUGUUGGUCACUUUGUAAAACAGACAAACUUUUCGGUUUCUUUGAACUUGUGUAAUGUAUUUCCUUCCUCUAAAUAGAGUAAAAAUGUUUAGAUUACAGUAAAAGCUUUUUAAUGAAUAUUUCAGACAAGAUGUAUGUUAGUAUUUGUUGAUUAACUGGCAGUGAGUUCAAUGGUGGUUGGUGCAAUGUUAUUUUCUCCAAAAAUGUAUAGCUAUAUAGAUGUGACCCUAACUGUUGCUGACUUCUAUGAAGUGUAAAUUAUUAUACACCAUAUGCUUCAUAAUGCAUUUUAUACUUUCCUUUUUCAGUUCAAAAAAACAAUAAUUUUGAAAGCUUUUUUGGUCUGUUUGUUUUAGAAAACUUUGUUCUGUGCAUUCAAAUGUUCAUUUAUGUUCAGAGUGACUGCUAAUUCUGUGUUCUCUUGGGACUUAAUCAGAGUGUUUGCCAUCCUAAAUCGGCCAAUAUUUGACUGCUGUAUUAAACAAGUAUUCAAAUUAAGUGUAGUGGGAAAAAUGGCACUUUU